GUCUAGCGAGACUGCCAGUGAUAAACUGGAGGAAGAUGGGGAUGACGUCAAAUCAUCAUGCCCCUUAUGACCUGGGCUACAAACGUGAUACAAUGGCUGAAACAAAGGGCAGCGAAGGAGCGAUCUGGAGCGAAACCCAAAAAAGCAGUCUCAGUUCGGAUUGAAGUCUGCAACUCGACUUCAUGAAGUCGGAAUCGCUAGUAAUCGCGGAUCAGAACGCCGCGGUGAAUACGUUCUCGGGGUUU
rnacentral:rRNA from 1 species